rnacentral:rRNA from 1 species
UACAGAGGUCCCGAGCGUUGUUCGGAUUCAUUGGGCGUAAAGGGUGCGUAGGCGGCGGGGCAAGUCUGAUGUGAAAUCCCGGGGCUCAACCCCGGAACUGCAUUGGAUACUGCCUUGCUCGAGUACUGGAGAGGGAACUGGAAUUUACGGUGUAGCAGUGAAAUGCGUAGAGAUCGUAAGGAAGGCCGGUGGCGAAGGCGGCGCUCUGGAACGUUUCUGACGCUGAGGCUCGAAAGCGUGGGGAGCAAACAGG